UACGUAGGGGGCAAGCGUUGUCCGGAUUUAUUGGGCGUAAAGAGCGUGUAGGCGGCCAGAUAGGUCGGUUGUGAAAACUGGAGGCUCAACCUCCAGACGUCGACCGAAACCAUCUGGCUAGAGUCCGGAAGAGGAGAGUGGAAUUCCUGGUGUAGCGGUGAAAUGCGCAGAUAUCAGGAAGAACACCGACGGCGAAGGCAGCUCGCUGGGACGGUACUGACGCUGAGGCGCGAAAGCGUGGGGAGCGAACAGG
rnacentral:rRNA from 1 species